rnacentral:tmRNA from 1 species
CUACCGGACGCAUCGGCCUGUCAGCGGGCUUGACGCACAGGGGAAUACUCUAAACACUGACUGCACCCGGAGAUGCUUCGGUGGAAAUGGUUUCGGACAGGAGUUCGACUCUCCUCGCCUCCACCA